GCGUUUAUGGUUUGGUAGUAAAAUAUGUACCCAUAACUGUUCUGUGUCCUUACAGGCGUCAACAGACAGCUAUGUAAGAGUCUAGUGUGAACGUGCAAGCUAACUGUUGGCAAGAAGAAGACAGUGACCCACAGGACUGAGACAAAACUGGAGCACUCAAUAUAUCUUAAAGUGCUCCUACAAGAACAUCAAACUGUACAUUCGCCAUGAACUCAUGCGUCUUCAAAAAAUGGGAUUUCCUGCU
rnacentral:lncRNA from 1 species